GGGAUUGCCUCAGUAACGGCGAGUGAAGCGGCAACAGCUCAAAUUUGAAAUCUGGCUCCGUCGGGGUCCGAAUUGUAAUUUGUAGAGAGUGCUUCGGGCGAGGCCUCGGUCUAAGUCCAUUGGAACAUGGUGUCACAGAGGGUGAGAAUCCCGUAUGCGACCGUGGCUCGAGCCGAUGUGAAGCCUCUUCGACGAGUCGAGUUGUUUGGGAAUGCAGCUCAAAAUGGGUGGUAAAUUUCAUCUAAAGCUAAAUACCGGCUGGAGACCGAUAGCGCACAAGUAGAGUGAUCGAAAGAUGAAAAGCACUUUGGAAAGAGAGUCAAACAGUACGUGAAAUUGUUGAAAGGGAAGCGCUUGCAACCAGACCUGCCCGUAGGCGAUCAGCCGCUGUUCUCAGCGGUGUACUCGCUCUGCGAUCAGGCCAGCAUCGGUUUCGGCGGUCGGAUAAAGGCCUUGGGAAUGUAGCUUCUCUUCGGGGGAGUCUUAUAGCCCUCGGUGUAAUGCGGCCAGCCGGGACCGAGGACCGCGCUUCGGCUAGGAUGCUGGCGUAAUGGUUGUAAGCGACCCGUCUUGAAACACGGACCAAGGAGUCUAACAUCUAUGCGAGUGUUUGGGUGUCAAACCCAUGCGCGGAAUGAAAGUGAACGGAGGUGAGAACCCUUAAGGGCGCAUCAUCGACCGAUCCAGAAGUCUUCGGAUGGAUUUGAGUAUGAGCAUAGCUGUUGGGACCCGAAAGAUGGUGAACUAUGCCUGAAUAGGGUGAAGCCAGAGGAAACUCUGGUGGAGGCUCGCAGCGGUUCUGACGUGCAAAUCGAUCGUCAAAUUUGGGUAUAGGGGCGAAAGACUAAUCG
rnacentral:rRNA from 1 species